AGAUUAAGUUAUUAAGGGCGCACGGUGGAUGCCUUGGCACUAGAAGCCGAUGAAGGACGUUACUAACGACGAUAUGCUUUGGGGAGCUGUAAGUAAGCUUUGAUCCAGAGAUUUCCGAAUGGGGAAACCCAGCAUGAGUUAUGUCAUGUUAUCGAUAUGUGAAUACAUAGCAUAUCAGAAGGCACACCCGGAGAACUGAAACAUCUUAGUACCCGGAGGAAGAGAAAGAAAAUUCGAUUCCCUUAGUAGCGGCGAGCGAAACGGGAAGAGCCCAAACCAACAAGCUUGCUUGUUGGGGUUGUAGGACACUCUAUACGGAGUUACAAAGGACGACAUUAGACGAAUCAUCUGGAAAGAUGAAUCAAAGAAGGUAAUAAUCCUGUAGUCGAAAAUGUUGUCUCUCUUGAGUGGAUCCUGAGUACGACGGAGCACGUGAAAUUCCGUCGGAAUCUGGGAGGACCAUCUCCUAAGGCUAAAUACUCUCUAGUGACCGAUAGUGAACCAGUACCGUGAGGGAAAGGUGAAAAGCACCCCGGAAGGGGAGUGAAAUAGAACCUGAAACCGUGUGCUUACAAGUAGUCAGAGCCCGUUAAUGGGUGAUGGCGUGCCUUUUGUAG
rnacentral:rRNA from 1 species